rnacentral:rRNA from 1 species
AUCGACUUUAGUAGGAUAAGUAGUGUUUAAACAUAGUGAACGCCUUUUUGUGUUUAUCACAUGCUGGGACUAGACUGUCUCACUCUGUUUAUAUGAAUGUUAUAUAUAUUAUAUUAACUGUUGUUUUGGUAAAGCUUAUUGCCAGUAGAGUGACUUUUAUUAUCUUUUACUACAGUCAAAAAAAUUAUCGAUAUAAAGUCGUAGUAGUAGUGGAUUUAUGUUGCCCGAGUGUCUAUUUUUAUUUGGUAACCAUUAACCUGGUGGCUAAGUAAAAAAAAAUACUAUUAGUUUACGGGGUAGUGUAAUUUUUUAAUAUUUUACAUAUACAUAAGCCUGAGUGUAUAUUUUUAUUUGGUAACCAUCAACCUGGUGACUAAGUAAAAAAUACUAUUAGUUUAUGGGAUAGUGUAAUUUUUUAAUCUUUUAUAUAUACAUAAAAGACUAAUUUUUUUUGUUUGUUUAAUUUUAUAUUUAGGGUCAUAAACUAAACAAAUGAAGUCCUAAAUAUAAAAUAAAUUGUAAAUAAUAAGAAUAUGAGAACAACGGCUAGGUGGCAGUUUAUGCGGGGCACAGAUCCCAUAAAGAGUAGCUGGGUAUAUCCUAAUUUUUGUAGAAAAAUUACGGAAAAAAUAUUUACUUAUUUUUUUUGCUUAUAAUUUUUAUUUAAUAUAUAAAUUUAUUUAUAUAAAUUUAAGAUAUUAUUUCUUAAGACAAAUUUGUAUAUAAGUGGAUAAAAUGUAAAAUACUUAUCCCUAUAUAUAUUUAAUCAGUAUUUUUUUACUUAAAGUAGAAUUUAAAUUUUUAAAGCAAGUAAGAUUUUAAUUAUAUUGAGCAUAGUUGUAAUAAAUAAAUUAACAUCCUCUAAUUUAACAAUAAAAUUGAAUAAUGUAGUGGGUUGUAAUAUAAUUUAAAGUUGCUUAAAUCCAGGACUUGGUCUUGUGAAUAGUGAUUUUGAUAAUUACUUUUAAAGUUUAAUGGCAUAAUCUUGCUUAACUGUUUGACCUACAUGUCUAUCAGUCGCGUAAGCGGGGCAUACGAUCACAAUACGCUCGAAAUGAGG